UACGGGGGGGGCAAGCGUUGUUCGGAAUUACUGGGCGUAAAGGGCUCGUAGGUGGCCAACUAAGUCGGACGUGAAAUCCCUCAGCUUAACUGGGGAACUGCGUCCGAUACUGGAUGGCUUGAGUUUGGGAGAGGGAUGCGGAAUUCCAGGUGUAGCGGUGAAAUGCGUAGAUAUCUGGAGGAACACCGGUGGCGAAGGCGGCAUCCUGGACCAACAUUGACGCUGAGGAGCGAAAGCCAGGGGAGCAAACGGG
rnacentral:rRNA from 1 species